ensembl:lncRNA
AAGACCUAACAGAAAGCAAAGAGAGCACAAAGAGUUUUGGCCAGAUGGAAGCAGCAUGCAGAGCUAGCUGGACUCCAGCUCUUACCUGGUUGCUUGUUAUCAGGUUUUCUGUAAUGUUUUUGGUGUUAAUAAACCUAUUGAGUCUCCUACCUUUAUUAAAUGCAUUGUCAUUUGGUUUCCCUCCAACAACAAUCUGAUGUGAUCAGAGUGAAACAAGGUGAAAGAGGGCUCAAGGGGAGCAAAUGAAGCAGACAGCCCAGACCUGUGCCUGGAGACAUAACUGGAAAACCAAGCAGUGUGCCCUGCUGUUGCAGAGAACAAAGGACUACGUGGGAAUCUGAGCUACACAGGAGGCUGACAACCAGAAGAAUUGAGCGAUCAUGCCCUCAGACUUUUUCUUUGAUGGUGCAGGUGAAGGAGAACAGAAGCAUGAAAAUACUUCAGCUCUUCAGGCUCUCUUACUCUUUCUCUGCAGAAACCAUUUUGUGCAGUGCUCCAGGAGCCAGCUGCUUCACUUCAAUCAAGCACAGCACAGUUUCAGGGUAACUAAAAGAAAAUGAAGGAAAGGAAAUGCCUCUCCUCCGAAGUAGCUUACAUAAAGCCCACUGGACCAGCUAUGGGGCCUGGAGACUGUUCUGUACCUCUGCACAGUGAUAGUGCUCUCUCCCACCUUUUAUACUCAUAGAACACAAAUGUCCCAUCUGCAAGAGAAGUAACAUGAAAAGGAGCAACAUCUGCAACAGCUGUGUGUAUCAGUAGCUAACCCUUGGGAGGACUCAUGACUGGGCUCUUUAGAAAGGUCCUGAUCAAAAUUUAAAGCAAAGGCAGCAACCCACUUUAAGAAUAGAGACACAACACAUGUUUUGGAAAGGUAUCUUUUGUGAAACAGCACGCAAUUAAGAAAAAAAUAUGUUUGAAUAUAGACUUCUAUUGAGUUUUGCUAUUAAUAUAUGUCAAGUUGGUGUUCUUCUUAAAAGACAGUCACUGAAUUAUUAUCAAGUUGUAUGCAUAUAUAAUUAAGAGACUGCUGUGUGAAAUGCAUCUUUUUAAAAUGGUCCCUUAUUACUCAUAUGAAUACUUGAUUCUGAAGAUGCUGUUUAGUGGAGGUUAAGCAAAAAAACUCAUAAGCAAAUCCCCAUGUGAGUUGAGUGCAUAAAUACCCAUUCUAGUCAAAGAAGAAUCAAUGAGUGCAGGUGCUUUGGGGUUUUUGUUUCUUUAUUUUUGUUUUGUUUUUAAUUAGCUGGUUCUUACUGUUUUUAUUAAUCUGUUACUAAUAGUGAUAGCGAUCCAAAAUCUGAGUUCACUAUCUGUGUUAACGGUUGUACAACAGUAGCUCUUCUGGGCACUGACAGAGCUCAAGGCAUUCAUUCAUGAAAGUUCUCAGCUUUUGUUCAGUGACUUCUUAAGGGAACUGUCAUUUUGGUGACAUACUAGGCUAGUCUGGGAUAUAUAAGAAUGAGUGUAAGUAUUUUUAAGGUUUCUUCAGUUAGGGUAGGACCUUUUGUUUGACCUCUCAGGUAAAUGCCCUGAGCGUAGACCCCAUACACAUAUGCAAACUCCUAAGAAACAAUUAUGUCCUACACUGAUGCGGACACACAAGAUUCUCCAGUUAUUUGUCAUUUCCCAGAGCACAACGCCUGUAGUCUGCUCAAAAGUUGUUUUUUUUUUCCAGGAAUUCUAAAUGUUAGAAGAUUCUUACAUGCUGACUAAAAAAAAAAUAAAAAAAUAAUAAAAAAAAUCAUCUCCAACUGUGCAAAAGACUCAUGGACCUAGACAAAACAAUGAAACAUCUGAGCUUCUACCCUAACACUAUGUUCUUUGAAGUUAUGCCAGAUGGUUUAGGUUCUUUAUAAUUUCUCAUAUGCAAAAGUCUUUCGUACAGCCUGGUGUUACUGCAACAUCAUGGUAUUUGCAGUGCUUAUUUAAAUGCUAAGUGCGUUCCAAGAGUUACUGAAGAAGACAACAUCCUCAUGCUGAGAAAGGGUACUUGUGAGGCACCCAGUACAAUUCAGCUUGUUCCCAAUCCUCCCCUUGAAGAAUACUGAGUAAAAUCCUCUGUUUAGAGAAGCU